AUCCGUGGUAAUUACUUGGCGAGGUCCGGGAAACAAGGCAAGAUCCGGGGAGAAAACAAGGCUGAGAACGAAGGCUUGGAACAGGAACAAAGGCUUGAAAGCAGGAGUAGCUGUCCACACACGCUGCUCCGGUAGCUGACGAAUUGACUCCGCAAGAUUCCUUCGGGAGCAAGGAACCUAAAUAGGCCUCGUUUUCCCACCAGAGAACACUUCUCUGGGGAAUCAGAAACGAAAGUCAAUCUCUGUGUCCAGAUGUAUGACUCCCUAAAAUUUCUCAUGGCAGCAGGCUUAAUCAUCUGAAUGCUUUGCUGCAAUUCUCAAACUCCUGCGAUUAGCUUGUUGCACUCCUUUUUGCUGGAGAUAAUAAUUACGGCGCGAAAAAGGGGGAGAACUCGACUCAGGGCUUGUUUGGCAGAUUUCUGGAAAGGCUCAAUUUCUGGCUGGGAUAGUUCCUUUUCUGGCUGAAAUGGUGGAAAACCCAAGUUUUCC
rnacentral:lncRNA from 11 species